GCGGAGGAAAAGAAACCAACAGGGAUUGCCUCAGUAACGGCGAGUGAAGCGGCAACAGCUCAAAUUUGAAAUCUGGUCCCCUCUGGGGGCCCGAGUUGUAAUUUGAAGAGGAUGCUUUUGGCGAGGCGCCUUCCGAGUGCCCUGGAACGGGACGCCACAGAGGGUGAGAGCCCCGUAUGGUAGGACGCCGAGCCUCUGUAAAGCUCCUUCGACGAGUCGAGUAGUUUGGGAAUGCUGCUCAAAAUGGGAGGUAAACCCCUUCUAAAGCUAAAUAUUGGCCAGAGACCGAUAGCGCACAAGUAGAGUGAUCGAAAGAUGAAAAGCACUUUGAAAAGAGAGUUAAACAGCACGUGAAAUUGUUGAAAGGGAAGCGCUUGCGACCAGACUUGCGCCCGUCGGAUCAACCGUCCCUCGUGGGCGGCGCACUCCGGCGGGCUCAGGCCAGCAUCAGUUUUCCUGGGGGUAGAAAGGCGGUGGGAAUGUAGCUCUUCGGAGUGUUAUAGCCCGCCGCGUAAUGCCCUCGGGGGGACUGAGGACCGCGCGUAUGCAAGGAUGCUGGCGUAAUGGUCGUCAGCGACCCGUCUUGAAACACGGACCAAGGAGUCGUCCUAAUAUGCGAGUGUACGGGUGUAAAACCCCUGCGCGUAAUGAAAGUGAACGGAGGUGAGAGCUUCGGCGCAUCAUCGACCGAUCCUGAUGUUCUCGGAUGGAUUUGAGUAAGAGCAUAUUGGGCCGGACCCGAAAGAAGGUGAACUAUGCCUGUAUAGGGUGAAGCCAGAGGAAACUCUGGUGGAGGCUCGCAGCGGUUCUGACGUGCAAAUCGAUCGUCAAAUAUGGGCAUGGGGGCGAAAGACUAAUCGAACCUUCUAGUAGCUGGUUUCGC
rnacentral:sRNA from 1 species